rnacentral:rRNA from 1 species
AACGAACGCUGGCGGCAUGCCUAACACAUGCAAGUCGAACGAGACCUUCGGGUCUAGUGGCGCACGGGUGCGUAACGCGUGGGAACCUGCCCUUAGGUUCGGAAUAACGUCGGGAAACUGACGCUAAUACCGGAUAAUGUCUUCGGACCAAAGAUUUAUCGCCUUUGGAUGGCCCCGCGUAGGAGUAGCUAGUUGGUGAGGUAACGGCUCACCAAGGCGACGAUCCUUAGCUGGUCUUAGAGGAUGAUCAGCCACACUGGGACUGAGACACGGGCCAGACUCCGACGGGAGGCAGCAGUGGGGAAUAUUGGACAAUGGGCGCAAGCCUGAGCCAGCAAUGCCGCGUGAGUGAUGAAGGCCUUAGGGUUGUAAAGCUCUUUUACCCGGGAUGAUAAUGACAGUACCGGGAGAAUAAGCCCCGGCUAACUCCGUGCCAGCAGCCGCGGUAA